rnacentral:rRNA from 1 species
GACGAACGCUGGCGGCGUGCUUAACACAUGCAAGUCGAACGGAAAGGCCCUGCUUUUGUGGGGUGCUCGAGUGGCGAACGGGUGAGUAACACGUGAGUAACCUGCCCUUGACUUUGGGAUAACUUCAGGAAACUGGGGCUAAUACCGGAUAGGGGCUCCUGCUGCAUGGUGGGGGUUGGAAAGUUUCGGCGGUUGGGGAUGGACUCGCGGCUUAUCAGCUUGUUGGUGGGGUAGUGGCUUACCAAGGCUUUGACGGGUAGCCGGCCUGUGAGGGUGACCGGCCACAUUGGGACUGGGAUACGGCCCAGACUCCUACGGGAGGCAGCAGUGGUGAAUAUUGCACAAUGGGCGGAAGCCUGAUGCAGCAACGCCGCGUGCGGGAUGACGGCCUUCGGGUUGUAAACCGCUUUCGCCUGUGACGAAGCGUGAGUGACGGUAAUGGGUAAAGAAGCACCGGCUAACUACGUG